ACAAAAAAAAACAAAAACACACAACAACAACGAACAACCAUAUUUGUGUGCAAUAUACAAAUCAAUCGGCACAUAAAUAAAUAAAUUAUAGUAAAUUUCAUAGAAUGAAAAAAGGCGUUCUCUAUGGGACGGACUAUAGUAGUUUAAUAGUGUCUUUUGCUAUAAGGGAGGUUAAUUUUCAAUAGUUUCCUGUUGCCAUGGACACAAACAGCAAGAAAUGCUAAAUUAACUGUUUCCGGAGCACAACGUCAAAACCAUUCAAGAUAAUUUCACAAAAUGUACACAUAUCAGUCAUUAAUGUUUUUCUGCUAAUAUGAAAACAAACAGCGAAAUUCACCGUUCCCGUAGCACAAGUCCCAAACUGUUCAAAACGACUUUGUAGACAUAACUGUUAUCAAUCUAGUGAUAUAGUAGGUAGUGUAUCUAGUGAUCUAGUAGGUUGUGUGUCUAGUGAUCUAGUAGGUGGUGUCGUUGUACAUAAAACUAGUAUCAAUCUAGUGAUAUAGUAGGUAGUGUAUCUAGUGAUUUAGUAGGAUGUGUGUCUAGUGAUCUAGUAGGUGGUGUCUUUGUACAUAAAACUAGUAUCAAUCUAGUGAUAUAGUAGGUAGUGUAUCUAGUGAUUUAGUAGGCUGUGUGUCUAGUGAUCUAGUAGGUGGUGUCUUUGUACAUAAAACUAGUAUCAAUCUAGUGAUAUAGUAGGUAGUGUAUCUAGUGAUUUAGUAGGCUGUGUGUCUAGUGAUCUAGUAGGUGGUGUCUUUGUACAUAAAACUAGUAUCAAUCUAGUGAUAUAGUAGGUAGUGUAUCUAGUGAUUUAGUAGGCUGUGUGUCUAGUGAUCUAGUAGGUGGUGUCGUUGUACAUAAAACUAGUAUCAAUCUAGUGAUUUAGUAGGUAGUGUAUCUAGUGAUUUAGUAGGCUGUGUGUAGUGAUCUAGUAGAUGGUGCAUCUAGUGAUCUAGUAGGUAGUGCAUCUAGUGAUCUAGUAGGCUGUGUGUCUAGUGAUCUAGUAGGUAGUGCAUCUAGUGAUCUAGUAGGUAGUCUGUGUACACAUAAAUAUUAUCAAUCUAGUUAUCUAGUAGGUAGUGUAUGUUGUGAUCUAGUAGGUAGUGCAUCUAGUGAUCUAGUAGGUAGUGCAUCUAGUGAUCUAGUAGGUAGUGCAUCUAGUGAUCUAGUAGGUAGUCUGUGUACACAUAAAUAUUAUCAAUCUAGUUAUCUAGUAGGUAGUGUAUGUUGUGAUCUAGUAGGUAGUGUAUCUAGUGUAUCUAGUAGGUUGUGUCUUUGUACACAUAAAUAUUAUCAAUCUAGUUAUCUAGUAAGUAGUGUCUUUGCUAUGAUGGAUUUUUUGUGUGUAACCUUGGGAAAAAUUGUCAGAAUGAUUGAAUUCACCGUUUGCAGACAAUAGCUUCAAAAGCGUUCACAAUAACUUCCCGAAACUUUACACACGUCUUGGGGGUAUUGACGACUACGUCUUCUUGUGUACUUUAUUGUACGCAUUGAUGAUAUAUGUUGUAUAAAAGAGGUCAGACUUUAAUAAAUAAUUUGUCUGUG